rnacentral:rRNA from 1 species
CAUGGUUAAGUGGGAAACGAUGUGGGAAGGCCCAGACAGCCAGGAUGUUGGCUUAGAAGCAGCCAUCAUUUAAAGAAAGCGUAAUAGCUCACUGGUCGAGUCGGCCUGCGCGGAAGAUGUAACGGGGCUAAACCAUGCACCGAAGCUGCGGCAGCGACGCUUAUGCGUUGUUGGGUAGGGGAGCGUUCUGUAAGCCUGUGAAGGUGUGCUGUGAGGUAUGCUGGAGGUAUCAGAAGUGCGAAUGCUGACAUAAGUAACGAUAAAGCGGGUGAAAAGCCCGCUCGCCGGAAGACCAAGGGUUCCUGUCCAACGUUAAUCGGGGCAGGGUGAGUCGACCCCUAAGGCGAGGCCGAAAGGCGUAGUCGAUGGGAAACAGGUUAAUAUUCCUGUACUUGGUGUUACUGCGAAGGGGGGACGGAGAAGGCUAUGUUGGCCGGGCGACGGUUGUCCCGGUUUAAGCGUGUAGGCUGGUUUUCCAGGCAAAUCCGGAAAAUCAAGGCCGAGGCGUGAUGACGAGGCACUACGGUGCUGAAGCAACAAAUGCCCUGCUUCCAGGAAAAGCCUCUAAGCAUCAGGUAACAUCAAAUCGUACCCCAAACCGACACAGGUGGUCAGGUAGAGAAUACCAAGGCGCUUGAGAGAACUCGGGUGAAGGAACUAGGCAAAAUGGUGCCGUAACUUCGGGAGAAGGCACGCUGAUACGUAGGUGAAGCGACUUGCUCGUGGAGCUGAAAUCAGUCGAAGAUACCAGCUGGCUGCAACUGUUUAUUAAAAACACAGCACUGUGCAAACACGAAAGUGGACGUAUACGGUGUGACGCCUGCCCGGUGCCGGAAGGUUAAUUGAUGGGGUUAGCGCAAGCGAAGCUCUUGAUCGAAGCCCCGGUAAACGGCGGCCGUAACUAUAACGGUCCUAAGGUAGCGAAAUUCCUUGUCGGGUAAGUUCCGACCUGCACGAAUGGCGUAAUGAUGGCCAGGCUGUCUCCACCCGAGACUCAGUGAAAUUGAACUCGCUGUGAAGAUGCAGUGUACCCGCGGCAAGACGGAAAGACCCCGUGAACCUUUACUAUAGCUUGACACUGAACAUUGAGCCUUGAUGUGUAGGAUAGGUGGGAGGCUUUGAAGUGUGGACGCCAGUCUGCAUGGAGCCGACCUUGAAAUACCACCCUUUAAUGUUUGAUGUUCUAACGUGGACCCGUGAUCCGGGUUGCGGACAGUGUCUGGUGGGUAGUUUGACUGGGGCGGUCUCCUCCUAAAGAGUAACGGAGGAGCACGAAGGUUGGCUAAUCCUGGUCGGACAUCAGGAGGUUAGUGCAAUGGCAUAAGCCAGCUUGACUGCGAGCGUGACGGCGCGAGCAGGUGCGAAAGCAGGUCAUAGUGAUCCGGUGGUUCUGAAUGGAAGGGCCAUCGCUCAACGGAUAAAAGGUACUCCGGGGAUAACAGGCUGAUACCGCCCAAGAGUUCAUAUCGACGGCGGUGUUUGGCACCUCGAUGUCGGCUCAUCACAUCCUGGGGCUGAAGUAGGUCCCAAGGGUAUGGCUGUUCGCCAUUUAAAGUGGUACGCGAGCUGGGUUUAGAACGUCGUGAGACAGUUCGGUCCCUAUCUGCCGUGGGCGCUGGAGAACUGAGGGGGGCUGCUCCUAGUACGAGAGGACCGGAGUGGACGCAUCACUGGUGUUCGGGUUGUCAUGCCAAUGGCACUGCCCGGUAGCUAAAUGCGGAAGAGAUAAGUGCUGAAAGCAUCUAAGCACGAAACUUGCCCCGAGAUGAGUUCUCCCUGACCCUUUAAGGGUCCUGAAGG